CUGCCAGGUGACAUCCAGGUGACAUCGGUGUCACUGUGCCAGGUCCGGGUGACAUUGGUGUCACAUCUGUGUCCUUGUGUCACACCCAGGUGACACCCAGGUGACACUCUUGUGUCCUUCUGUCACAUCCAGGUGACAUUGGUGUCACUGUGCCAGGUGACAUCCGUGUCACAUCUGUGCCACCACACAGGGUCCAGGUGAUACUCGUGUCCCUUGUGUCACAUCCAGGUGACAUCGGUGUCACUGUGCCAGGUCCAGGUGACAUCAGUGUCACUCCCGUGUCCUUGUGUCACAUCGGUGCCACUGUCCCAGCUCCGUGUGUGACACCCACACGAUGUCCAUGUCCUUGUGUGACACGGGUGACAUCCAGGUGACAUCGGUGUCACACCCAGGUGACAUCCAGGUGACAAUCCUGUCACCACACCACCUCUGUGUCCUUGUGCCAGGUCCAGGUGCCAUCAGUGUCACUGUGCCAGCUCUGGGUGACACCCGUGUCCCCACACAGGCUCCAAUCGUGACGUCAUUCCCGAUGACAUCACAACCUUAUGAUGUCAUCCCCAGGCACUGCGUCCCCCAGGGGAGUGGGGUGGAGGAGAUUCCCCCAUUGAUGACGUCACUACCCAUGACGUCAGCAACCACUACAGUCUCUGUGGGGUGGGGGGAGUUUCCCCCACUCAUGACGUCACUCCCCAUGAUGUCACCUCCAAUACACCUUCCUGGGAAGGGGAGAAGUCGGGGGAUUCCCCCCCUCCCAUGACGUCACUCCAAAUGACGUCACCCCCAACCACUCUGCCCCCACAGGAGGGGAGGAGGGGGAUUCCCCCACUAAUGACGUCACCCCCAGUUAGUGUCCGUGGGGGAUUCCUGGUCUCAUGACGUCACCUCCGAUAUACCCUCCGGAGAAGGGGAGAAGGAGCGGAAUUCCCCCCCUCCCAUGACGUCACUCAUCAUGACGUCAUUCCCAAUGACAUCACCCCCAACUACAAUGCCCCCACAGGGGUGAAUGGGGGGGGGGUUCCCCAGUCAUGACAUCACUUCCCAUGACGUCACCCCCAAACUACAACGCCC